AUGUGUGGAUUCUGGAAUGAGCUGGAAAGGAUACAACGGUCCUCAGGUCAAAAACCUCCACACAGCUCACCACCUCCAAGGCCAUACAUAUCUGCUGCUGCUGCUGCUGCUGCUGAUUUGGGGCAAGUCAGUCCCACCCCCACCCCUCAAGCUGGCCCCCCCCCCCCCAGCUCACCUGCCUUCGGGGCUUCGCCUCCAGGCCUUCUCUGGGAGAUCAAAAGUUUUCUUUGGGCCCAGCGUACACUCAAGAGGAUGCCCUACAAAGACACACACUUAGAUGCAUGCACACACACACACACACACACACCACAGCACCCCAGCUGUUUCCUUCAAAAAGGGAUGGUGACCAUCUCCCACUCAUGUCUUCCCUUUGGGGAAGCAGCCCAGGAACCGGGAGACGUGGAUUUAAGGGGGAGGAAGAGACACCCCAUCUCUCUGCCCCUGCGGGGACCUCCGCUAAGAACAAAGAAAGAAUUCCCCGGGCUGGACGCACGUGCCCAGCACCCACCCCAGACACCCAAACCCGUGCACAGCACACGCAGGCCUCCCCAUGGACUCUCAAGGCCGGAACACGUCUCUGUUCCCACUCAUGAUUACCCUCACCACACGGGGGACUCCACUCGCUGUCGCACAGCCACCAGGACCCUCCCCACGCCCCCCGCCCCCCACCAGAGCACAGCCUCUGCAGCCAGCCGGUCCAUCCACCCCGCAGGCCCAGGAAAGCCCGAGGGUGUAGGGCCCGCGUCUCCGGAGCCUCGGUCGCCCAGGCCUGGGUGGCAGCUGCGGGGACAGUGUAUGAGGUGGGGGAUCCGGCCGCUCGAAGGGUCCGCCUGUCCCCUGCCUGCGCGUCCGUCUGGGCCUUGGCCUUGGCCUCCGCCGGCGGGGGUGCGACCCCUAGCGCCCCAAACACAUACGGGGGUCUCCGCGGACCGACGGGCCGAUGGCGGCGGGGACGGCCACGCGGGACCGAGAACGGCCGAGACGCGCGGCCGCGGGAGCCGCCGGGGAGGCCCAACUGCAGCCUCGUGGCGCCACCUAUGGUCCGCACUGCGGCGGCUUCCCGGCCCCCGGCGCCCGCGGCUCGGUCCUGCAGCCCGUCUCCGAGUCUCAGGGUGGCCCCGCCGCCCCUCCCGGAUUCAGCCCCGGGGUUGGGGGUGGCGCGGGCGCUGCCACCGCGUCACGUGCAGAGAGGCCCCAGAGCCCGCAGCUGCGACCUCACCUGCCCCUCUGUUCUGCUGCCCGGCCCCCCCACCCCCCGCUUCCCGGUUACAGAAGGGGACACGGAGCCUCGGCCACAACCCGGAAGUGGAGAGACCAGGCCAGGACCGACUCUGGGGCUUGUGGAAUCGGGGCAGCUGA
rnacentral:lncRNA from 1 species